GCCAUAAACGCGAAUAUCAAGUUCACGUGUUUGUAAUGCAACUAUAAAUACUCUAUCCGCCCAAUAAAUCUUUAUCUUAACUUGAUUUUUAUUCAAAUUCCGAACAGAUAAAGCAGAGAAUCUCAAAGCAGAGAAUUAGAAAAAAAUUAAUAAGAAAUAUUGUAAUUGGCCUUUAACGAGAAGUAUAACCUUGGAUACUUGGCAAGCAAUUGUGAUACUUGAGCGAGUAGCGUACUGUGCAUGAAAAUGAGCGAACGCAUCAUCAAUUUUACGUCACAUAAUCUCAAUGAAAGAUUGCUACACUGCAGUAUAUAUCUCAUGUUUUCGAGCAAACUCCAAUUCUCCUAGCUACCUGUGACUUCUUACUUUUCAACGAGGCGAAAAAAGAAGCGUGGCUGUUAUCUAAAAACGUAAUACCUUUAUUUGCACCAUUUACGUCGGAGAUUAAGACAGAAGGAGACGCGAAACGUAAAAUUCACGAGGCACGUCGGUACUAUUGCCUUUGGAUUUUAUCAACAUGAUCAUAAUAACCGUGUCACGUUACAACAACAACGAAGUUUCAGACUGUUUUAUAUAAAACGUACGUUAUAUGUAUAAAGGUUGUACAUGGAGACUGUCCGCAGGCUUGUUCUUGAACCUCGAAUGACAACAGUUUUCAAUUGAAUGAUCGCGAUGAUACUUUAUUACGCGCGUACAACGAUGACUUUAUUGCAGCGUUCAAUAUAGCGAACCCCAUGUUCAACCUAUAUUUUCUCUGUUCACUCGUCUAUUAAGCGGGAUAACUAGUUUUGCCGAUUAUAAUUUAACUCGUAAUGGGGGAACGUUCGAAGAGGAGGAGCAUAACAAAGUCAUUUAAUCCGGCUGAUUAUGUAUCAACGAUGUGUGAAAGGAGAAAAGUGUCGUUUUUAUCGUUGUCCGCGAGUAUUCGCUGCGACUUUUUAUGCGAAACUUGCGCGUUCCAACGAACAUGACGCGUACAGAAGAAUAUAAAUAUUUCGAAGCAUGGAAGAAGCAAAAGUAUCGAAAGAAAUUUGACAAAAUCCAUAAUAUACGAGACAAAUGAGAAACAACUAACGACGUAGUUAUAACCGUACAGAAGCAGAAACAGAAACGAACGUCUCGUUCCACUGCACGGAGUGGAUCGUGCGUUGGGCACCUGAAAGGUCAGCCACGAGUUACACAAAAGAUGGGCAAACGAGAAAGCACUUUCUUUACCACAUGCGAUCCACGUAGGCCGUGCAGCAUGCUGGACAUGAAAUGUUGGUUGUACGUACCGACUUCGGCAUGUUGUACGGAGAAUUCCAACAUAGUAAGCUGAAAUCGGCAGAAUUGACCUGGGCUAUCGUUUGUCGGCGUAAGGGUAGGGUAAGACCGCACGGCAAGGACACAUA